rnacentral:rRNA from 1 species
UUAAAUGGCCGCAGUAUCCUAACUGUGCAAAGGUAGCAUAAUCAUUAGUCUUUUAAUUGAAGGCUGGUAUGAAUGGUUGGACGAGGUAUUAACUGUUUCAAGUGAAUUUAUUAUAGAAUUUUAUUUUUUAGUCAAAAAGCUAAAAUGAAGUUAAAAGACGAGAAGACCCUAUAAAUCUUUAUUUUAUUAGUUAUUUUAAUUAUAUAGAUAAAUUAUAUUAUAAUAAUUAAUAAAAUUUUAUUGGGGUGAUAUUAAAAUUUAUAAAACUUUUAAUUUUUUAAAAACAUAAAUUAAUGAGUAAUUGAUCCAUUAUUAAUGAUUAAAAAUUUAAGUUACUUUAGGGAUAACAGCGUAAUUUUUUUGGAGAGUUCUUAUCGAUAAAAAAGAUUGCGACCUCGAUGUUGGAUUAAGAAAAAAUUUAGG